UCACGCAUCGCGUCUCCCCCAAACCCACCUCGAGUGGAGGGGAAGGAUGAUGGCNNNNNGCGUCUCACNGGANGCGGCUGGCCUAAAAUUGGAGCCCUCGGCAUAGGGAUGCCGCGGCGAUAGGUGGUGAACAUGGCCCCGGCCAAGCAAGCAACCCGUCGCGCGUCGCUGUGCCAUUGCGAGCUCGAAGGACCCUUUGACGUUGCCUCGUUGCAACCAAACCGUUGCGAC
rnacentral:rRNA from 1 species